AUGAAAAAGAACCCGGGCACUUUCAGCAAACUCUUCGGCAAGAAACAUGCCAACCCGCCCGCCACCUCCCUCUACGCCACGAACCCCCCCUGGAUCUUCACCCAGGAGGCCCCGGAGGAGGGGACCCGGGGCUUCGAUGGGAUCUAUUAUGGAGACAACCGGUUUGACACUGUGAGUGAGUCGGGAACCGCCACGCUGAAAGCUCGGCCCAGAGUCCGGCCCCUGCUCACCUUUCUUCCGCUGGAUGCCCAGGAGAACCAUGGACUGGCUGUACCCACUCCCUGUGUGCCAGACAGCUUUGCAGACAAACAAGGGACAGGCACCAGCACGCUCGUCAAUGGCAACCUCCGACUAUACAGCUCUGUGGGGGACCUAAGGCCUGGGCAUUAUGGCCAGGACUUACUCAUCCCCCCACCUCCCCCGGGCCCAGCGCCGGCGCCACCCCUAGGUGCUCUGCAGCCUCCAGAGUUCUCUCCGCCACCUCCACCCUCCACAGCUCCCCCACCUCCUCCCCUGCUGGAAUCACUGCCCCCACCCCCACCCAGCACAGCCCCAGCUCUGCCCCCAGGAAUGGGGGCCCUUCCCCACCCACCCACUGUUUCCUCACCAUCCACACCCACGCCUCCUGACUUCAUUCCUCCCGCACCACCCCAGGCCGUUCAAGCCCCACCUCUACCCCUCUUGCCAGCCCCGACACCCCCAGCCCCAGAGUCUCCUCAUACCGUGGGGACACGCCUCUUCCCCACUGGGGGUGUCACCAAGUGGAAAUCAGAAGUGGCGCUGAAUGGCAGGCAGCCAGAGGUCCCCAGAAGCAGUCCCCCCAGGAGCCCUGCUGAGCCCAAGGGGGCCCUCCCGGGUCUGGAGUCCCACCUCACCUUCCCCCGGUCAUUCAAGGUGCCUCCCCCAACCCCAGUCAGGACUUCGUCCAUCUCUAUUCCAGAAGCACAAGGGACUCCUCCUGAGGACGAAGAGCGCACCAAGAAGGGCCCCGGUCGACCCUCACUGCCUCCUAGCUUCCAUAUCCGCUCCGCGUGCCAGGCCUACCCCGACAGGGCUGCUGAGCUGGCACGCCCUGAGGAGCCCAGCACUGUGGCACUGGCCGGCCCAAGGCCAGGCCAGCCUCAGGUCCAGAGCAGUGAACAAGCUGAGACGCCACCUCCAGCCCCUCCCCUACCCCCUCCUGCACCCCCACUCCCUCCACCAGCACCCCCACUCCCCCCAGCCGCCCCUCCUCUGCCAUCUGCUGAGAAGGCAGCCCCUCCACCUGCUGGCUUGAUGAAAAGAACCAAGUUUAGCUUUCCUGCUCCCAAACCCAAACCUGACCCCCCCAGCCCGGAGGAGACAGCCUCUUCGGAGCCCAUGGACUGGCGGGACCCCAGCCAGAUGGCAAAGCUCCGGGACCAGCUGUCAGCCUAUCUUUGCAGCUCCAGGAGAGAGGACCGGCUUGCCAGUCACAGACCAGAUCCAAUGGCAGCCUCUCAGGAAAGAGAGGACCACAAGCGUCCCAGCCUGCCAGCGAAAGAGGCGCCCCCGAGUCUGCUACAGAAGGAGGCUCCCCCAAGCCUGCCAGAGAAGGAGGCCCCCUCAAGUGUUCCUGAGGAGAGUCCUUGCAGCCGGCCAAAGAAGGCUGCCACCAGCCUGAUCCUCCCUCCUGUGGACUACCUCCCCCAAGACGCGCCAACUCCUAGCGUCUGGGAGAUCCGGAAGAAGCUGGAGGCCCAGCUUUCCUCAUCAGCUGAGAAGGAGGCCAGGCCCAGCAGAGGGUCUCUGCCUCCCAAAUCUCAGCCAGAAGGGGGAAGAAUCUUUGAAAACAGAGAUGAUAACAGCAAAUUCCCCAAGCCUGUGGCCAAGAAUCUGCCACCUCUAUCCACCACCCCUCUGCCAAACACACCACUCCAGUCCAAGGUCACACCUGGACCAGCCACCCCACCCAAGGCCACGCCUGAACCAGCCACAUCACCCAAGACCACUCCCGGACCAGCCUCACCACCCAAGGCCACAUCCGGACCAGCCACACCACCCAAGGUCACGCCCGGACCAGCCACACCACCCAAGGCCACGCCCGGACCAGCCACACCACCCAAGGUCACGCCCGGACCAGCCACACCACCCAAGGCCACUCCUGGACCAGACACACCACCCAAGGCCAUGCCCGGACCAGCCACACCACCCAAGGUCACGCCCGGACCAGCCACACCACCCAAGGUCACGCCCGGACCAGCCACACCACCCAAGGCCAUGCCCGGACCAGCCUCACCACCCAAGGCCACUCCUGGACCAGACACAACACCCAAGGCCAUGCCUGGACCAGCCACACCACCCAAAGCCACGUCUGGACCAGCCACACCACCCAAGGCCACACCCGGACCAGCCACACCAUCCAAGGCCACGCCUGGACCAGCCACAACACCCAAGGCCAUGCCUGGACCAGCCACACCACCCAAAGCCACGUCUGGACCAGCCACACCACCCAAGGCCACACCUCUACCCAUCACAUCUUCCCAACUGAUAGCAGAAAAGAACCUGGCCCCUGCUGGACAGUGGGAGAAGCCAGAACAUGAAGCACUUGCAGUGCCCUCCAAGCCAGAGGUAGAGGGGCACUCCUCAGAGACCAGUAAGCCUCCUACACAGGGAGCCCUCUCAUCUCCAGCCUUCCCCCCAAAGAUAUCACCUGGGCGAGAAGAGGUGCCAUGUUUCUACAAGCCCCACUGCAGCCAGAACAGCUCCAGCAGAGAGGUGGCUGUGGUGAUACCCACUCUGUCCAGAGGAGAGGCUGCAGGGUCAGGCAAGCCUGUGGAGGUGAAGGAGCCCCAGGAGCUGCCACCCAAACCCCCAGCCUCAUCCCAGGCUGCUGACGAACUCCUCAGGCACCCGGUGACGGGGGAGGUGGUGGAGCGGGGUUCCCCGAUGGCCCUGCUCCUUGCGGCCAAGCAGAGGGCCCAGAAGGGGAGGCCCAGGGGGGCCCCCCUGGGCCGGCCCUCCCUGCCAGGGAGUCUCCAAGGCCCGAGCCAGCCCGAGGCAGGCUCUGAUACCAUCUUGUACAACGAGGGCCAGCCCAACUCCUUCACUGUGGUCCCCAAGGUGUCCAAGGAGACUGAGAAGGUCCCCCAGCUAACCUCGCCAGGACAACCCAAAGGACUCUGUCAGUGGGAACUCCAGCCCCGCAGGGACCCGGAGGACACAGAGUCGGGCCGCGGGCCCAGCUCGACAAAGGUGAAGCCCCAGGCCUCUGCGGCCUGGGAGAGACCAGCGCCCUCCAGCCUCCUCCAGGGCCGCCUGCUGCCCAAGUCUUUCUCUUCCCCUCCUUCUCCUUCCCACAAGCCGGAGGAAGACAAGGAGGAGGAGUUCAACUUUGAGGUCAUCCCGCCGCCGCCAGAAUUCAGCAAUGAUCCCGAGCCCCCGGCCGCCCCCUUGCAGUAUCUGGGGCGUCGGGGUUCCCCUCCCCGGAACAAUUUCUCAGACUUGGGGCAGCCCGCGAAUGCGGGCCCAGCUCGCGGCUUCUCUCACUUCUCCGCGGAUCCAGGUCCGGCCCGGGGCCUGGAGCGCUUCUCCGGCGGAGGCGGGGGCCGCUCGCUCAUCAAGAAGCGCCUGUACGUCGGGGAGCCCCACCGCAACCCAGAGCCGCCCCGCGGCGGCACCGGCCGCAGCCUGAGCUUCCCCAACUGCUUCGGGCCGCAGCCCGGGGGCCCCUUCGCAGCGCCCAGCGGCCCGGAGAUGCGGCGCGUCAACUCGGCGGGCCGCGGGCCCCCGGGCGGCCUGCACUUGCGGAACAUGUCCCUGGAGGGCGCCGCUCGCGGAGAGGCCAAGUACAAAGCUCGCAGCGGCGGCGGCGACUAUGGCUGCUCCCCGGCUACCGGCAGGUCUCCCCACAACAACAUGCACUACGGAAGCUCCAUCAACACAUUCACUGUGAGGCCUGGGACCCGCCAUCCCAUCUCCUAUGCCUACUCAGGGGCCCAUUGGAAGGCCCCCUCCUGA
rnacentral:lncRNA from 1 species